CCUACGGGAGGCAGCAGUGAGGAAUAUUGGUCAAUGGACGCAAGUCUGAACCAGCCAUGCCGCGUGCAGGAAGACGGCUCUAUGAGUUGUAAACUGCUUUUGUACGAGGGUAAACGCAGAUACGCGUAUCUGUCUGCAAGUAUCGUACGAAUAAGGAUCGGCUAACUCCGUGCCAGCAGCCGCGGUAAUACGGAGGAUUCAAGCGUUAUCCGGAUUUAUUGGGUUUAAAGGGUGCGUAGGCGGUCGGAUAAGUUAGAGGUGAAAUCCCGAGGCUCAACUUCGGAAUUGCCUCUGAGACUGUUCGGCUAGAGAGUAGUUGCGGUAGGCGGAAUGUAUGGUGUAGCGGUGAAAUGCUUAGAGAUCAUACAGAACACCGAUUGCGAAGGCAGCUUACCAAGCUACUUCUGACGUUGAGGCACGAAAGCGUGGGGAGCAAACAGGAUUAGAUACCCGAGUAGUC
rnacentral:rRNA from 1 species